UUAAUCAUAAAAGUAACUAACAAUAAUGAUUGAUGAUUAUCUUUGCUUUGUACUAUUGCAGGCCCCUCCGCGCCAAAAAGAAAAAGAGGUCGUACUCAAAUGCCAAGAGUACAUGGAAGAAAGGAGCGUAAAAGAAUCACUCUAAAUGAGUAUAAUCAACCCAUUGGUCCUAUUGACGAAGUUGUAAAAGAGUUGGGUAGCUUCCUCGGCACAUUGGCAAGGAGUGAAACUUUUUGUCCUCUUAAUGUAUUUAAUUGGAGGAAACUAGACACAAAAGAUGAUAUGUGAAAAUAUAUCAAGGUGUGAAGUUCCCAAUGUUUAAUAAACGUGGAUGAUAUUUCCUUUUUUUUUAAUACUAACCCAAUUGCACUAAAUUUGUAGGAAAAAUAUGACAUUCCUGACGAGACGAAAACAUGGAUUUUUGAAUCAAUUAGUACUGCUUGGAGAAAGUAUAAGAAUCAGUUGAAGAAAAAACACUUUCAAGCCUAUGAGAAUGACGAGCUUCGAAUGGAGAAUAGGCCAGUAGAUGUUCCGGAAUCUCACUUUAAGGAUCUUUUUAAAUAUUGGAACUCCGAUCCUCACAAGAUUCGCUCCACUCAGUGUUCUUAUUUUGCAGUACUAGGAUGUUUAAGGGCCUGGGUCAGACUGUUCCGGAAAAAUGUCCGAAACCAAUACAGAGAAUCAAAAUAAGUUGAAGUGCCCGCACACUGCUGGCAGACCAAGUUUUGCUCUAAUCCGCGAGGAAUAAAAGAAGGAAAUUUCUGAUACUUCGGACACUCUAUCAAGUAAGGACAUCUUUGUGGCUACAAGAAAAAGAAAACCUGGCCGAGAAUACAAAGGCUCAUAUGACAAUACAAUUAGUAAAAUUGCUGAAAUAGAUAGAAUACAAUCAACUCAAGAAAGCGAAGAUGGCAGUCAUUCAGUUGACGAUUUUGCGUCAGUCAUGAGACCUGAACAUCCAGGUCGCGUGAGAUUGUAUAGACGAGGGGUUAAUAAGACUGUCUUAAAAGGAAAAAUAGGAAAUCUUGGAUCAUUUUCAGACGCUAGUGAUGAGAGGAUGCAGCAGAAAAUGGAGGAAAUGGAAGAGAGGAUGCAACAAAGAAUGCAGGAAAAGUUGAACGAACAAAAGGAUGCUAUGGAACAAGAAAUUAUAAUGAACGUCGUCGCACGAAUUCAGCGUCUGAACCCAGAAUUGCGACUUGAUCCUGACAUGCUAAGGUUCAGUGCUCGUUCACCUGUGGAAGCUUCCUCUGCACAACAAACUGCUGUUCAACUAACCAAUCGACCAUCUACUGGUAGUAACAAUCAAGGUGGAGUAGAUUAAGAAAUGGAAGAUGAAGGCAGUGAAGAACUAGACCUUACUUGAGAUGAAUUUUGAAUUGCUAUAGAUGAAUGUUCUAGGAAUCUUUUGUUAUCAACAUUUUGAAACUUACUCUCUUGAAAUAUAUUAAACUUAUGCACUUAGGGUAGAACAUCUGCUUUAUGGAUAUUAUUAGCUUGAUGGAUAAUUUAUAUUAUUAAUAGUUUUAUUUUA